CUGCGCCUGGGACGCGGGCAGUCUGAUCGCGUUCCGCGCGGUACAGGGGCUGGGCGGCGGGCUGUUGCAGCCGGUCGGCAUGGC
rnacentral:tRNA from 1 species